UACGUAGGUCCCGAGCGUUGUCCGGAUUUAUUGGGCGUAAAGCGAGCGCAGGCGGUUAGAUAAGUCUGAAGUUAAAGGCUGUGGCUUAACCAUAGGACGCUUUGGAAACUGUUUAACUUGAGUGCAAGAGGGGAGAGUGGAAUUCCAUGUGUAGCGGUGAAAUGCGUAGAUAUAUGGAGGAACACCGGUGGCGAAAGCGGCUCUCUGGCUUGUAACUGACGCUGAGGCUCGAAAGCGUGGGGAGCAAACAGG
rnacentral:rRNA from 1 species